rnacentral:rRNA from 1 species
GACGAACGCUGGCGGCGUGCCUAACACAUGCAAGUCGAGCGAAUGAAGUUCCUUCGGGAAUGGAUUUAGCGGCGGACGGGUGAGUAACACGUGGGCAACCUGCCUCAUAGAGGGGAAUAGCCUUCCGAAAGGGAGAUUAAUACCGCAUAAGAUUGUAGUAUCGCAUGAUACAGCAAUUAAAGGAGCAAUCCGCUAUGAGAUGGGCCCGCGGCGCAUUAGCUAGUUGGUGAGGUAACGGCUCACCAAGGCGACGAUGCGUAGCCGACCUGAGAGGGUGAUCGGCCACAUUGGGACUGAGACACGGCCCAGACUCCUACGGGAGGCAGCAGUGGGGAAUAUUGCACAAUGGGGGAAACCCUGAUGCUGCAACGCCGCGUGAGUGAUGACGGCCUUCGGGUUGUAAAGCUCUGUCUUCAGGGACGAUAAUGACGGUACCUGAGGAGGAAGCCACGGCUAACUACGUG